AUUGAACGCUGGCGGCGUGCCUAAUACAUGCAAGUCGAACGGAGUGGCGCACGGGUGAGUAAUGUAUAGCUAAUCUGCCCUACACUAGAGGACAACAGGUGGAAAAGACUGCUAAUACUCUAAAGUGGGGGAUGAGGCUAUGUUUUAUCAGCGAGUUGGGGAGGUAAUGGCUCACCAAGGCUAGGACGCAUAACUGGUCUGAGAGGAUGAUCAGUCACACUGGAACAGAUGCACUGUACCGACUCUGACGGCAGGCAGCAGUAGGGAAGAUUGCUCACUGGGGGAAACCCUGAGGAAGCCACGCCGCGUGGGGGAUGACACUUUUCGGAGCGUAAACUCCUUUUGUUAGGGAAGCGGUACCUAACGAAUAAGCACCGGCUAACUCCGUGCCAGCCGCCGCGGUAAUUC
rnacentral:rRNA from 1 species